rnacentral:rRNA from 1 species
CCUACGGGAGGCAGCAGUAAGGAAUAUUGGGCAAUGGACGCAAGUCUGACCCAGCCAUGCCGCGUGAAGGAUGAAGGUCUCUGGAUUGUAAACUUCUUUUUUCUGGGGCGCAGUACCAGAAGAAUAAGCACCGGCUAACUCCGUGCCAGCAGCCGCGGUAAUACGGAGGGUGCAAGCGUUAUCCGGAUUCACUGGGUUUAAAGGGUGCGUAGGUGGGCAGGUAAGUCAGUGGUGAAAUCCCCGAGCUUAACUUGGGAACUGCCGUUGAUACUAUCUGUCUUGAAUAUCGUGGAGGUUAGCGGAAUAUGUCAUGUAGCGGUGAAAUGCAUAGAGAUGACAUAGAACACCAAUUGCGAAGGCAGCUGGCUACACGUAUUGACACUGAGGCACGAAAGCGUGGGGAGCAAACAGGAUUAGAUACCCUUGUAGUC